rnacentral:lncRNA from 1 species
CCGUUCUCUGUUGUGAAUGGCUACUGCACUAAAAAAGAGGGAGAGUGGCAAUUUCAGGUACAAGAUCACUAAUAGAGGGAUAGUAUGUGUAUGGUGGGUGUAAAAAUCCUUUUGAAGCCUAUUUUUUUAGUGGGUGUAAAAAUUCUACCAAUAUUGACCCUUUACUCUAUAUGCUCAGUCAUUGCCACCAUGUUAAUGAAUUGCUAGGCUAAACUACCUAUCACAUGUUUGUAGUAUGGUGUUUUAAAUGUGUUGGCAAAUAGAGUGACCAUCUCUUUUUUUAAGACUAAAGGAUGCACCUAUGCAGCUAAAUCCCUCUAUUUUUUUGGCAUAUUCCCUUAUGUUUUCUUUAUUCCCCUUUUCAGAUUGGACCAGCUGGUUUUAUCAUGAGUAACAUUCAUGUUAUACUCCUGCUGCAAAAUCACCCACCAGAUCUUUCCAUCUCUAAAUCUUUGAGCUACUUAGUCUUAUGUACCAGUUCAAUGCUAUCCCAUUCAAACUAUUUUGGAAAAAAUACAUCAAUAGUUUCUUAUCCUAUACUACUUUUGCCAUUUUAUUGUAAUAGAAAUCGAGGUAGAUCAAGGCACAUUAUAUUCUAGUAUAUUUGAUAAAUUCAAGAAUAAAAAAAAACAUUUUUAGUACAACCACAUUCAAGAUUGACAAGACACAUUAAAAAAAAUAAAAAUGAGGGACCCUUUUUUCUAUCUAUAAGAAAAGGGACAAGCAUCCUUUUCCCCAAACCCUAUCUAUCAAUUACAAUAACUUUAGAUGGAGAGUCAUCCUCAAAUUAAAAUUCAAAUUGAAAUUAAAAAAAAAAACGAUCCCAUUUUUUUCAUAAAUAAAUAAAUUUACGAGAAAUCGAAUCACCAAAAACAUCCCCCAUUUUUCACAACUGGUUCUAACCCCUAACCACCACAUCAGCAAAUUGAUGUCCCUUUUUGAAGAAAUUGCCUCUCAAUAUCCUGCAUGAACACACAAGCACAGUCAUCAGUAUGAGCCCUAAGUAAAAAAUCUAGAGGCCAACCGUUCUUUGUUGUGAAUGGCUACUGCACUAAAAAAAGAGGGAGAGUGGCGAUUUCAGGUACAAGAUCACUAAUCCAAUACAGCUUCCUUGUAAGUUUAUAGAAAUCCAAACAUAUAGAUGUAUAACAUGACACAGACAUUCUAGAGAUAUAAAUAAUCUUCAGGUUAGUCACCGAGCCACAUUUCAUUACAAGUCUCUUAAAACUGUUUCAAUUACAUGUCUUUACAAGUUGCAUAAUCAAAGAAAAGAAGUUUAUCAAAUAACUUAUUUCAAAAAAUGAAACCAACAAAGCAAUGACUACCGCCAUUGUCAGCAAAGCCAGCUAAAUGUCGUGAAAAUUUUCCUUCUGUCAAAUUUCUUUUUGAACUUGUGGUUCCUGAUUUGAGCACUUGAACACAGGAGACAGAGAAAAGUAAUGGAAAUGAUAAGAGCUAGGAAACCACGUAUGCUUGCUGAGAAACUUGGCACAAGGAAACUACAUAAAUACAUUUAGCUAACUAUUGUACGAGAAGAAA